rnacentral:lncRNA from 1 species
CUUUGCUGACCACUAGCACCUGAAUUUGGACAAGGGCUUUCCUGAAGAGCCAGCAUCUGGUGUUGCAAAAAUUAAAGAGAGACUAUUAAAUGCUUGAUCACCUUCUAAAAGAAAACAGCAGUACAGUCUGCCACAUCUGUAGAAAAAGUAUCAGUAGAAAAGAAUACAGGUACUUCACAUGGGAAUAAUUCCUCUGAGAGAGCUCUUACAAUAUUAGAUACGUG